AUAAUAAUCUCUCUGAGGCUUAGUUUCUUUAUAUGUGUAGGUAAUGUCACUGUCCUGCCUAUCUCACAAGCUCAUUGGUGGGAGAUGUGAUAGAAUGAGACCAUGGAUGUGAAGACAACUAUAAACUGUCAAAAGUUUUCUGCAUGCACAGGAAUGAUGUGUGCUCAGGUCCCCUUUGCAAUACUCCUCUGCAGUGUGACUGCAUCAAGAGGGAUGGAAGAUUGUAGCACCAGGGCCCUGCCACCUGCCACCUCAAGACCCCACAUCCCAGGUACAGCAAGAACUGCUCCCCCUAUUUCACCAAAGGCAAUAUCCCUUUUAUUACCUUGUAAUCAGACCAACUAGUUUUUACUCUUUCCCCCAAAAUGAAGUUCACUUAUUUUGGAUGGAGGUCUGGGUCUCUGAAAAAUGAAAACAUUUUUAUCAUCAGUCCUGUUUUCUCCCUGUUUUCAUUUGUACCAGAGGGUGGGGUGGAAAUGAAGGGAGCCUUUCAAGGCUUAGGUGUCCAAAGAACAGAGCGAUUUGACCUGAACUGAACUUGUCAAGGAAUUACAGGUGACGACUUGGCUAAAGAGCUCAGCUUCAUUCAUCUGAUUACUUAUUUGCAUCAUUGACUAGGAAAAAAUAAACCUCAAUUCACUACAUUAGGUAGUGUCUGG
rnacentral:lncRNA from 1 species